AAUCAACGCUGGCGGCGUGCCUAAUACAUGCAAGUCGAACGCGAGAGGGGCUUCGGCCCCAAUUGAGUGGCAAACGGGUGAGUAACACGUGGGUGAUCUACCUUCGAGUGGGGGAUAACGUUUCGAAAGGAACGCUAAUACCGCAUAACAUCCUGUCUUUGGACAGAUGGAGAUCAAAGCCGGGACGCAAGGCCUGGCGCUUGAAGAGGAGCCCGCGCCCGAUUAGCAGUUGGUGAGGUAACGGCUCACCAAGGCGACGAUCGGUAGCCGGCCUGAGAGGGCGGACGGCCACACUGGGACUGAGACACGGCCCAGACUCCUACGGAGGCAGCAGUAGGGAAUUGUUCGCAAUGGGCGCAAGCCUGACGACGCAACGCCGCGUGAAGGAUGAAGGUCUUCGGAUUGUAAACUUCUGUCGUGUGGGACGAACAUCUUUCAGGAUAA
rnacentral:rRNA from 1 species